UACGGGGGGGGCAAGCGUUGUUCGGAAUUACUGGGCGUAAAGGGCUCGUAGGUGGCCAACUAAGUCAUACGUGAAAUCCCUCGGCUUAACCGGGGAACUGCGUCUGAUACUGGAUGGCUUGAGGUUGGGAGAGGGAUGCGGAAUUCCAGGUGUAGCGGUGAAAUACGUAGAUAUCUGGAGGAACACCGGUGGCGAAGGCGGCAUCCUGGACCAAUUCUGACACUGAGGCGCGAAAGCCAGGGGAGCGAACGGG
rnacentral:rRNA from 1 species